GAUUAUGGCUCAGAACGAACGCUGGCGGCGCGUUUAAGCAUGCAAGUCGAGCGGCAAGGGCCUUCGGGCCCCUAGAGCGGCGGACGGGUGAGUAACACGUGGACAAUCUGCCCCCCGGCCCGGGAUAGCCCAGGGAAACCUGGAUUAAUACCGGAUGAGACGGGACCCGCGAUGGCGGGACCCGGGAAAGGCGCUGCGGCGCCGCCGGGGGAUGAGUCUGCGUCCCAUUAGCUAGACGGCGGGGUAACGGCCCACCGUGGCGACGAUGGGUAGCCGGCCUGAGAGGGUGGACGGCCACAUUGGAACUGAGACACGGUCCAGACUCCUACGGGAGGCAGCAGCUAAGAAUCUUCCGCAAUGGGCGAAAGCCUGACGGAGCCGACGCCGCGUGAACGAAGAAGGCCGUGAGGUUGUAAAGUUCUUUUCGGGAGGGGGAACAACCGUGGCAGGGAAUGGCCGCGGGAUGACGUGAAUCCCGGAAUAAGCCCCGGCUAACUACGUGCCAGCCGCUGC
rnacentral:rRNA from 1 species